GAUGAACGCUGGCGGCAUGCCUAACACAUGCAAGUCGAUCGGUAAGGCUCUUCGGAGUACACGAGAGGCGGACGGCUGAGUAACGCGUAGGAACACACCCUACAGUGAGGGAUAAGACACCGAAAGGUGUUCUAAUACCGCAUACGGUCUUCGGAUUAAAGCAUUUAUGCGCUGAAGGAGUGGCCUGCGUCAUAUUAGAUAGUUGGUGAGGUAAUGGCUCACCAAGUCGAUGAUGUGUAGCUGGUCUGAGAGGAUGAUCAGCCAGACUGGAACUGAGACACGGUCCAGACUCCUACGGGAGGCAGCAGUGAGGAAUAUUUCACAAUGAGCGAAAGCUUGAUGGAGCAAUGCCGCGUGCAGGAUGAAGGCCCUCGGGUUGUAAACUGCUUUUAUAAGAGAAGAUUAUGACGGUAACUUAUGAAUAAGGGACGGCUAACUACGUG
rnacentral:rRNA from 1 species